CCUACGGGUGGCAGCAGUGAGGAAUAUUGGUCAAUGGCCGCAAGCCUGAACCAGCCAAGUCGCGUGAAGGAUGACUGCGCUACGGGUUGUAAACUUCUUUUGUCAAGGGAUAAAGUCAGGCCCGUGUGCCUGUUUGUAUGUACUUUAUGAAUAAGGAUCGGCUAACUCCGUGCCAGCAGCCGCGGUAAUACGGAGGAUCCGAGCGUUAUCCGGAUUUAUUGGGUUUAAAGGGUGCGUAGAUGGGUUGUUAAGUCAGUGGUGAAAGUUUGCGGCUCAACCGCAAAAGUGCCAUUGAUACUGGCAGCCUUGAGAACAGUUGAGGUAGGCGGAAUGCGUGGUGUAGCGGUGAAAUGCUUAGAUAUCACGCAGAACUCCGAUUGCGAAGGCAGCCUACUAAACUCCAUCUGACACUGAGGCUCGAAAGUGUGGGUAUCAAACAGGAUUAGAUACCCGAGUAGUC
rnacentral:rRNA from 1 species